UACAUAGGGAGCAAGCGUUAUCCGGAUUUAUUGGGUGUAAAGGGUGCGUAGACGGGAAAUUAAGUUAGUUGUGAAAUCCCUCGGCUUAACUGAGGAACUGCAACUAAAACUACUUUUCUUGAGUGCAGGAGAGGUAAGUGGAAUUCCUAGUGUAGCGGUGAAAUGCGUAGAUAUUAGGAGGAACACCAGUGGCGAAGGCGGCUUACUGGACUGUAACUGACGUUGAGGCUCGAAGGCGUGGGGAGCAAACAGG
rnacentral:rRNA from 1 species